CGUAAAUCCCCUCUUGUUCUCCUCCUUUCCGACUUUUUCCCAACUCACCAGUGCCUCCUCCUAACCGACGAUGACCCCCCUCUCUAGCGCAUCCUUCUCUACCUUCCCCACUCCCCACACGCCCUCCUUCCUGACGUCCCAACUCCAUCAGUGCCUCAUGUACUGUGGCCCCAAGCCCACCACACCGGCCUCGCCUCGCCUCGCCUGUGGCCACCCCAACCCC
rnacentral:lncRNA from 1 species